rnacentral:tRNA from 1 species
GGAGGGGUACCGAAGUGGUCAUAACGGCGCUGACUCGAAAUCAGAUGGCUAGGGAAACCUGGCACGUGGGUUCGAAUCCCACCUUCUCCGCCA